rnacentral:rRNA from 1 species
ACGCUCGACACCUACGGGAGGUAGCAGUUGGGAAUAUUGGACAAUGGAGGAAACUCUGAUCCAGUGACGCCGCGUGAAGGAAGAAGGUCUUCGGAUUGUAAACUUAUUUUGUCAGGGAAGAAAAAAUGACUGUACCUGAAGAAAAAGCACCGGCUAACUACGUGCCAGCAGCCGCGGUAAUCUGAGCGGGCUGGCAAGGC